rnacentral:ncRNA from 1 species
GGUUAAGCGACUAAGCGUACACGGUGGAUGCCCUGGCAGUCAGAGGCGAUGAAGGACGUGCUAAUCUGCGAAAAGCGUCGGUAAGGUGAUAUGAACCGUUAUAACCGGCGAUGUCCGAAUGGGGAAACCCAGUGUGAUUCGUCACACUAUCGUUAACUGAAUACAUAGGUUAACGAGGCGAACCGGGGGAACUGAAACAUCUAAGUACCCCGAGGAAAAGAAAUCAACCGAGAUUCCCCCAGUAGCGGCGAGCGAACGGGGAGCAGCCCAGAGUCUGAAUCAGCUUGUGUGUUAGUGGAACGGUCUGGAAAGUCCGACGGUACAGGGUGAUAGUCCCGUACACCAAAAUGCACAGGCUGUGAACUCGAAGAGUAGGGCGGGACACGUGGUAUCCUGUCUGAAUAUGGGGGGACCAUCCUCCAAGGCUAAAUACUCCUGACUGACCGAUAGUGAACCAGUACCGUGAGGGAAAGGCGAAAAGAACCCCGGCGAGGGGAGUGAAAAAGAACCUGAAACCGUGUACGUACAAGCAGUGGGAGCACCUUCGGGUGUGACUGCGUACCUUUUGUAUAAUGGGUCAGCGACUUAUAUUCUGUAGCAAGGUUAACCGUAUAGGGGAGCCGCAGGGAAACCGAGUCUUAACUGGGCGUUAAGUUGCAGGGUAUAGACCCGAAACCCGGUGAUCUAGCCAUGGGCAGGUUGAAGGUUGGGUAACACUAACUGGAGGACCGAACCGACUAAUGUUGAAAAAUUAGCGGAUGACUUGUGGCUGGGGGUGAAAGGCCAAUCAAACCGGGAGAUAGCUGGUUCUCCCCGAAAGCUAUUUAGGUAGCGCCUCGUGAAUUCAUCUUCGGGGGUAGAGCAC